ensembl:lncRNA
GUUUGUUCAAUCCCCAUGUGGGAUUUGUUCUACAUUCACUGCAUUGCUGGGUGUCCUCACCUGGCUGGCGGUGCUGCUGUCUCCCUGGCUGUGUGUUGUAACCUAAAGGUGAUUAAAGAUGGCUGCAAGGUGGCUCCAGCUUUACCAUCUAAAACUGAGCUAAUGGAGGCUUAGAUAAAUAUCAUUCAAAUCAUGGAGCCUGAUUCAUGAGUCAGGAUGAUGGCAGCCCUCCAAAACCUCCUUGCCCAUGGAGAGUGUGUUUGUGUGAGAGAGAUAGAGAGUUUCACUGUAUGAAGCGUAAGAAACUGGAAGCCAAGUGAAUUAAAUACAAAGCAGAUAAUUAUGUGUAAUUCAUUUACUGACUAAUGAUUGCACCUGGUACAGAAGUUUAUGAAUUCAUUUCACUCUGCAUUUGUUCUCAAAAAACAAUCUCUCUGCACAAGAUAAAAACUAGGCCUGUGUUUACGUUGGUAUUAUUCUAAGAUUCUUUCUCUCUGGUUCAUUCCCCAUUUUUUCUCAUGACGUUUCACUUCUCCUGAGUUCACCUGGUGUCUCCUUGGCAGCGACAGCUGCUCCGUGCAGGCAGGGGCUGGGUGUCACAGCAGAAUGGAGCCUUUGCUUCUCUCCUGCAGUCUGUGUGGUGUGAUUACGCAUAAGGCUCAUCUCCCAUGUGCUACAGCCAAACUUUGCCACCAAGGCUGUGCCUGCAGUGGGAAUCAGCAGGUCAUGGUCCCCCUCCCCCCUCUGCUGGGAUGGUCAGCAACUUGCUGCUCUUGCAGUGGUGCCACCCAGCUGUCCCUGCAGCCUGACACCAUCAGCUCCUUCCAGCUGCAGGUGGUGUCAGCCUUCACCUGCUGACACCUGGGUUGAAGACCCCAGGGGCCUCUGGCAAGGUGAAAAAGCUCCUGCAAAUCCAUGGGGGCCAGCAGUGCCAUUGGUGCUGAUGUCACACUGAGGACAGCAGCCUGUGUGACACUGCUUGCACUGUGAGCUUGGGAGUGGAGCUCUGAGCCACGCUGGGCCCAAGGCUCUGCUGGAUGUGGGCAGCAGCAGGGACACUCCUAAGGUGAUGCUCUUACCACGUCGAGGAAACAAAAGACCUUUUCCAGCUGUAUCCCAUGGGCAGUCAUCAGGCAUCCAGCAAAGCCCCUCCUCCCAGUCCAUCAGUGUGUCAAAGACAUCUCACCUCAAUCAUCCAUCACCCUGCAAAUACAUCUGCACACUCGGUUCAUUGCUCAGGUCCUCAGGUCCUCCUGUGAUGGCUGAUGCUCAAAGCAAGAAUUGCUGCUUCUUGCUGAGCGUGCCCAGCACCAUCACACGGCGGGGCUCUGUCCAGUAAUCAAUCCAUUAACGGGGUGCAGGAGAGGUAAGCGCAUGGGAGAGGGCUACAUCUGCAGGCACUGGCUGAGAGUAGAUUUAUGUGGGAUGUCCUUUAAGGCCAACUUUGGGAAAGGAACCAACUGGAAUGACAUAAGGAAGAGGGAAGUUACUUAGCAGUUUGAAUAGUUAGUAAAUUGUGACAUGCUCACAUGAAAGAACAUGCUGAGUUCACCUACAUACACGCUUUCCAGCAUUAUUUCCACUGAGUCUUUGCUGAAGCGUAAUAGUGAAGCUGAGCUCGUGGCUGCCAAUGGAACAGCUGCAGCAGCAGAUCUAACCACCAGUGCUGCACAAACACAGUGGGAGGCGUCUCCCUGCAGCCACCGCCAGCACUGUGCGGUGCCAGGAGAGCAUCACUGCUGCCCAGCUCCUCUGCUCCCAGCACAGCACUGCCCUACAGCCUGCAGCCCUCCUGGGGAGGCGGCGAAAAGCAGUGGAGGUGCUGCUUUCUCCAUCCGUGGCAGCCACGGGUAACAAAAGCA